UGGUAGUNCACGCCGUAAACGAUGAGUGCUAGGUGUUAGGCCCUUUCCGGGGCUUAGUGCCGGAGCUAACGCAAUAAGCACUCCGCCUGGGGAGUACGACCGCAAGGUUGAAACUCAAAGGAAUUGACGGGGGCCCGCACAAGCGGUGGAGCAUGUGGUUUAAUUCGAAGCAACGCGAAGAACCCUACCAGGUCUUGACAUCCCGAUGCUAUUCUUAGAGAUAGGAAGUUACUUCGGUACAUCGGAGACAGGUGGUGCAUGGUUGUCGUCAGCUCGUGUCGUGAGAUGUUGGGUUAAGUCCCGCAACGAGCGCAACCCUUAUUGUUAGUUGCCAUCAUUAAGUUGGGCACUCUAGCGAGACUGCCGGUAAUAAACCGGAGGAAGGUGGGGAUGACGUCAAAUCAUCAUGCCCCUUAUGACCUGGGCUACACACGUGCUACAAUGGUCGGUACAACGAGUUGCGAGCCGGUGACGGCAAGCUAAUCUCUGAAAGCCGAUCUCAGUUCGGAUUGGAGGCUGCAACUCGCCUCCAUGAAGUCGGAAUCGCUAGUAAUCGCGGAUCAGCACGCCGCGGUGAAUACGUUCCCGGGCCUUGUACACACCGCCC
rnacentral:rRNA from 1 species